rnacentral:rRNA from 1 species
UACGUAGGGGGCAAGCGUUGUCCGGAUUUAUUGGGCGUAAAGAGCGUGUAGGCGGCCAGGUAGGUCAGCUGUGAAAACUCGAGGCUCAACCUCGAGACGUCGGUUGAAACCCCCCUGGCUAGAGUCCGGAAGAGGAGAGUGGAAUUCCUGGUGUAGCGGUGGAAUGCGCAGAUAUCAGGAGGAACACCAAUAGCGAAGGCAGCUCGCUGGGACGUUACUGACACUGAGGCGCGAAAGCGUGGGGAGCGAACAGG